rnacentral:lncRNA from 7 species
CCUGUGUGCCAUUUGUGAGGAUGGUUUCAACAAUUGUGAAUAUCAAGUGUUAAACUUAUGCAGGGACAUUAAAGAUACAAAGUAUCCAAAAUGAGAAGCAAGGGGUUGAAGGGUAAACCAGGUGCAAAAUAUCCUAAACUGUCAACUGCAUUUUCACAUAUGGGAUACUUUAACAUGACUGAAGGGGGUAGCAAAUUGGAUUUCCCCCUUUUUCAGUUACUCUCAUUUUUUGAAUUGCUUACAACAUGUAAUUCCUAUAUUAU